UACGAACUGUGCAAACGUUAUUCGGAAUCACUGGGCUUAAAGGGGUGCGUAGGCGGCUGUCUAAGUAGGGUGUGAAAGCCCCCGGCUCAACCGGGGAAUUGCGCCCUAAACUGGAUGGCUGGAGUGAGGCAGGGGUGUGUGGAACUUCCGGUGGAGCGGUGAAAUGUGUUGAUAUCGGAAGGAACGCCGGUGGCGAAAGCGACACACUGGGUCUCAACUGACGCUGAGGCACGAAAGCCAGGGGAGCAAACGGG
rnacentral:rRNA from 1 species